rnacentral:rRNA from 1 species
GUGAACGCUGGCGGUAGGCCUAACACCUGCAAGUCGAACGGCAGCACAGUAAGAGCUUGCUCUUACGGGUGGCGAGUGGCGGACGGGUGAGGAAUACAUCGGAAUCUACUUUUUCGUGGGGGAUAACGUAGGGAAACUUACGCUAAUACCGCAUACGACCUACGGGUGAAAGCAGGGGAUCUUCGGACCUUGCGCGAUUGAAUGAGCCGAUGUCGGAUUAGCUAGUUGGCGGGGUAAAGGCCCACCAAGGCGACGAUCCGUAGCUGGUCUGAGAGGAUGAUCAGCCACACUGGAACUGAGACACGAUCCAGACUCCUACGGGAGGCAGCAGUGGGGAAUAUUGGACAAUGGGCGCAAGCCUGAUCCAGCCAUACCGCGUGGGUGAAGAAGGCCUUCGGGUUGUAAAGCCCUUUUGUUGGGAAAGAAAAGCAGCAGGUUAAUACCCCGCUGUUCUGACGGUACCCAAAGAAUAAGCACCGGCUAACUUCGU